rnacentral:lncRNA from 1 species
GGCUGAAUUUGAUUGAUUGUCACUUUUAAAAAUUGUUAAAGACUUGUAAGAGGGAAGAAUAGGCCAGAAAUUUUUGUUAUGCUCCAUUUGUUCAAAAGCAUCUUCCUUCCUGCUUCUAAUGUGGCAAAGCACAGAUACAUUGUCUUUAAGAGAUUCUAGGUGAACAAACAACUUGGAUAUCAACAGGGAACAGAAAACCCACUAGCAGGACCAAAAGGCAGACCCCAUCAGCAGAACACAGGUGGCAGCUUCAACAAUUAAUUCCAAAACUGAAAGUCAAAUCCAGGAGAAGACAGGAAGCUCCAUUUUCUUUGAGCACUUAAUUGUAAAUUAAGAUUUGCUGAUGAUGACGGGCUAAUUUAAGCU